rnacentral:tRNA from 1 species
GGGGCCUUAGCUCAGCUGGGAGAGCGCCGCACUUGCACUGCGGAGGUCACCGGUUCGAUCCCGGUAGGCUCCA